GGAUGUUCGCCGGUGCCGGUGGUGCGUUGGGUCACCCUCCUCCGGAUUCUCCCACCUUAGAUUCUUCCGAGCAGGUCUAUAUCUCCUCCCUCGCGCUCCUCAAGAUGCUCAAGCACGGAAGAGCUGGGGUUCCCAUGGAGGUAAUGGGUUUGAUGCUGGGAGAGUUUGUUGACGAGUACACGGUUCGUGUUGUUGACGUCUUUGCUAUGCCCCAAAGUGG
rnacentral:misc_RNA from 1 species